rnacentral:lncRNA from 1 species
UAUUUUGAUUUGUAUUUAUUAAUUUUCUAAUUAUUUGCAUAUGUUUUCAUGAAUGAACUGUAAAUGCGAACUCUUCGGAAUUGGAAUUGCAAAGCAAUUGGGUGUCUCAAUUUUUUUAUUUUAUUUAUUUUUUCAUUUUUUCUCUUCUCUUCUCUGCGAUUUCUUAGGGUUUCUGAAUCUUCUCCUCUCUGGUUCCGUUGCGCCAAAUCGAAUUCUCUCUUCAAGUCAAACCAAAGCUUUUGGUGUUUCUUCAUUCUCUCUGUAAGUCAUGUCGAUUUUUUAAAAAAAUUGUAAAUCUCUUCGAUUUGGUUUAACUUCGCAUUGAUUUGACGAAUUGGGUUUUGUUUAUGAGAUUGGUGUUUCUUUCCUGGGAAUCGAAUUCGUGUUUGUUUCACUGGAUUUAGUGGGAAUGUGAUUUUUUGUUUUUCCUUUAUUCAUAAUUUGUUCUUAGGUUUUUUCGCGUUUUCAUGUAUCGUAUUACUACUUUGUUGUUUAUGCCAUUGAAAUUGUGGAUUUGUAAUCUGUGUUUAUUGCGGAAACGAGGAAUUGAUAACUUGAGAUUGAAUCGAAGUGCGCAUUGUUAUGUUGUGUGUUACCCAACUUAUCUUCCUCUGCAAGUUUUCAGGUAUAUUGAUGUUUUAAGUAGUUUAUUAUAUCUGAAAAGGUAAUGUAUAAAAGGUGUGGCAUAGAUAAGGAGAAGAUUCUGUGAUUAGUUGUUUAGAGUAGGCGUUUAGGUUGUAAUGUUAGGUAGUUUGGAUUCAGGAAUAGAUGUUUGGCCAAUUGUUUAACUUCAGGAUUUUGUUUUGGACAUUGACAUUGUCAUAUGCUUCAUCUGUUGUAGUUUGGAUUCGACGUAGAUGUUUGGCCAAUUGUUUAACUGCAAGAUUUUGUUUCGGACAUUGACAUUGUCGUCUGCUUUAUCUGUUGUCGUU